rnacentral:rRNA from 1 species
UACGGAGGGAGCUAGCGUUGUUCGGAAUUACUGGGCGUAAAGCGCACGUAGGCGGCUUUGUAAGUUAGAGGUGAAAGCCUGGGGCUCAACCCCAGAAUUGUCUUUAAGACUGCAUCGCUUGAAUCCAGGAGAGGUGAGUGGAAUUCCGAGUGUAGAGGUGAAAUUCGUAGAUAUUCGGAAGAACACCAGUGGCGAAGGCGACUUACUGGACACAUAUUGACGCUGAGGUGGCGAAAAGCGUGGGGAGCAAACACGG